AGUGAACGCUGGCGGUAGGCCUAACACAUGCAAGUCGAACGGCAGCACAGUAAGAGCUUGCUCUUACGGGUGGCGAGUGGCGUACGGGUGAGGAAUACAUCGGAAUCUACUUUUUCGUGGGGGAUAACGUAGGGAAACUUACGCUAAUACCGCAUACGACCUACGGGUGAAAGCAGGGGAUCUUCGGACCUUGCGCGAUUGAAUGAGCCGAUGUCGGAUUAGCUAGUUGGCGGGGUAAAGGCCCACCAAGGCGACGAUCCGUAGCUGGUCUGAGAGGAUGAUCAGCCACACUGGAACUGAAACGCGGUCUAGACUCCUACGGGAGGCAGCAGUGGGGAAUAUUGGACAAUGGGCGCAAGCCUGAUCCAGCCAUACCGCGUGGGUGAAGAAGGCCUUCGGGUUGUAAAGCCCUUUUGUUGGGAAAGAAAAGCAGCAGGUUAAUACCCCGCUGUUCUGACGGUACCCAAAGAAUAAGCACCGGCUAACUUCGUG
rnacentral:rRNA from 1 species